rnacentral:tRNA from 1 species
GGGGAUUUGGCUCAGUGGUAGAGCACUUGCCUAGCAAGCACAAGGCCCUGAGUUCGAUCCCCAGCUUCG